rnacentral:rRNA from 1 species
AUGAACGCUGGCGGCGUGCCUAAUACAUGCAAGUCGAGCGAACGGACGAGAAGCUUGCUUUUCUGAUGUUAGCGGCGGACGGGUGAGUAACACGUGGAUAACCUACCUAUAAGACUGGGAUAACUUCGGGAAACCGGAGCUAAUACCGGAUAAUAUUUUGAACCGCAUGGUUCAAAAGUGAAAGACGGUCUUGCUGUCACUUAUAGAUGGAUCCGCGCUGCAUUAGCUAGUUGGUAAGGUAACGGCUUACCAAGGCAACGAUGCAUAGCCGACCUGAGAGGGUGAUCGGCCACACUGGAACUGAGACACGGUCCAGACUCCUACGGGAGGCAGCAGUAGGGAAUCUUCCGUAAUGGGCGAAAGCCUGACGGAGCAACGCCGCGUGAGUGAUGAAGGUCUUCGGAUCGUAAAACUCUGUUAUUAGGGAAGAACAUAUGUGUAAGUAACUGUGCACAUCUUGACGGUACCUAAUCAGAAAGCCACGGCUAACUACGUG